rnacentral:rRNA from 1 species
AUUGAACGCUGGCGGCAGGCCUAACACAUGCAAGUCGAGCGGAUGAAGGGAGCUUGCUCCUGGAUUCAGCGGCGGACGGGUGAGUAAUGCCUAGGAAUCUGCCUGGUAGUGGGGGAUAACGUCCGGAAACGGGCGCUAAUACCGCAUACGUCCUGAGGGAGGAAGUGGGGGAUCUUCGGACCUCACGCUAUCAGAUGAGCCUAGGUCGGAUUAGCUAGUUGGUGGGGUAAAGGCCUACCAAGGCGACGAUCCGUAACUGGUCUGAGAGGAUGAUCAGUCACACUGGAACUGAGACACGGUCCAGACUCCUACGGGAGGCAGCAGUGGGGAAUAUUGGACAAUGGGCGAAAGCCUGAUCCAGCCAUGCCGCGUGUGUGAAGAGGGUCUUCGGAUUGUAAAGCACUUUAAGUUGGGAGGAAGGGCAGUAAGUUAAUACCUUGCUGUUUUGACGUUACCAACAGAAUAAGCACCGGCUAACUUCGUG